GCCUGUGGCUUAGUUUGGUCAAAGCGUCCCGUUUACACCGGGAAGAUCGCGAGUUCGAGUCUCGCCGGG
rnacentral:tRNA from 1 species